GACGAAGGUGGCGACCGUUGUUCGGAAUCACUGGGCAUAAAGAGCUCGUAGGCGGUGAGAAAAGUAGGGUGUGAAAUCCCUCGGCCCAACCGAGGAACUGCGCUCUAAACUGUCUUGCUUGAGGACCGAAGGGACCACGGAAUUCCUGGUGGAGCGGUGAAAUGCGUUGAUAUCAGGAGGAACACCGGCGGCGAAGGCGGUGGUCUGGUCGGUUUCUGACGCCGAGGAGCGAAAGCUAGGGGAGCAAACGGG
rnacentral:rRNA from 1 species